UCUUUCCAGCGUCCCUUCAUUACGACGCCAUCUCUCUCCCCAUGGAAAGAAAAUCCACGAUUCUACCGUCCCUUCCUUUCUAUUCUUUCGCUCAUAUUGCAAGAAAAAAGUGAUGCAUCGAUCUGGCAUGGUCGAGGGUUUACGUAGAUCAGGUGCUCGAAUCUACUCCUACAAACCACAACGAACCUAAUUUUUUGGAAAAUCUCCAAUUUCUGAUUGAGAUGCUACCCGCCAGGCUUCCCUUCAAAUCUUCGGUUGUUCUUGACGAGCAGAUCAGUCCAUCUAGCCAAGGUUCAUGUCAGCGGAAUACUGCAUGGUCCAGCCAUGAGCCAUCAGAACAGCUAACCCAAUUUGCACCCCGUGAAAACUGAUGGAAGAUCGAUCCCUAUAUCCGACAUUCAUGUGUGCGGUCAUGUCAAUGUUGCAGACAGAGUACGUCCACGCUGAAGACCCAACCACAACCACACACAGACACACCCUUGGUUCUAAACGGUUUGUUUUUUCUUAUUAUUGCUUCAUAUGUUGAAUUGUGAUCAGUUUUAUAUACACAUCUCUGAUUGCCCAUCACGUCUGAACACGAUUGUGUACCCCGAUUAAGUUCACCUGGAUAUGUUUGAAUGAAUUCCAAUUGGUUUA